rnacentral:lncRNA from 1 species
GGGGUUAUGACAUGAAAUGACCUUUUAAGGAAAACGAUAAAACUCAAUUGACAUUUAUUUGCUCUGGUUCUUUCUUUUUUUUCCGUUUGUUUGUUUAUCUUGCUCCGCAGCACAGCUGAAAGAGUUUGGUUUAGUGGUCAGAUCCCUGAGGAAGACUUCCGCUAGUUACACUGUACGAGGUCUUGUUAAUAAAUAAAAGGUUAUGCACCAACUCAUGAAGUGUGUGAAAUCAUAAAAUAUCACAGUCAUAAAUUGUCCUUGGGACUAUUUUAUGUUGGUAUGUUCUUAAAUAACAUGGGUAUUAUUGCUUCUUGAUAUUCCUCAAUCUCAGUUUAUCCAAACCAACCAACUGCCAACAGUUCCAGAGCACACGCACAGUAGGGUCAGUCACUCUGUGAUCGUCUGUGGUGUGGUGACAAGUAAAACAAAGAUUUCUGUACUGUAAGUGUUGUGACCAUGUAGCUAUUAAUAUACAUUUUUUUUAUAGUGAGUAAUAUGUGUAAAUGAAGUAGCUGCUCCCAUCUCAGUCAUUUAGACAAGUGAAACAAGGAUUUUUGUACUUUAUCUAUCACCACCAACACAUUGCAGGCAUUAAUAGCAUUUCUAUCAUUCAAGUCUCCAGAAGGAAAGCCCCAGGACUCCUUAGCAGCACCAAACUUCUAGCAGCUUUAGUUUUCAGAAGGAAAGCCCCAGGACUCCUCAGUGGCACCAAACUUCUAGAAGCGUUAGGAAAGCCUACAUAAAAAUUCUUAUUACAAAUGAGCGUGACAGGCGAGGAGAAAAUGGGCCCAUCAGUUAGCGGAGCUGGAGUGGAGAUAUGAUGGAUGAUGAGAAAGUUCCCCUCUAAACUUGGGGCUCUGACCUUGUUGCAGGUAAUGUUACAUGUAUCCUGGCCUUUUUACAGAUAAAGAGGCAAAAACUCAUCAGCUUGGAGACCCAGACAGAUAGCAAUGCAUCAAUCCCCAGUAUUCUUCGCCGGGGCCAAGGACACAACAAUGCAGUAAAUUCAAAAGGAGUGGAGACUGCACGUUUACAACAGAGGCUAUUAAAUGGGAGAUCUUGUUGAACUGUGUUUUUUACGUCAAGGUCCUCAAAAGAGUAAAUGCUGCAAUCAGGGCUUGCAGUGAAUUUGUAGUAAAGUUGUAUUUCAGUGCUGAUGCAGUAGCCUGGGAUUAAAGUGAAUUUGCACUAUUAAGGCA